rnacentral:rRNA from 1 species
CGCUGGCGAAGCAUGUGCACGUCCAACCUUUUCUAUUACACACCCGUGCACCUUUUGUAGGUCCUCGAAAGAGGAUCUAUGUAUUUCAUCAUCACACCUAUCGUAUGUCUAGAAUGUCAUCGUCGACCACUGGGCGGCGAAAUAAAUAAUACAACUUUCAGCAACGGAUCUCUUGGCUCUCGCAUCGAUGAAGAACGCAGCGAAUUGCGAUAAGUAAUGUGAAUUGCAGAUUUUCAGUGAAUCAUCGAAUCUUUGAACGCACCUUGCGCUCCUUGGUAUUCCGAGGAGCAUGCCUGUUUGAGUGUCAUUAAAUUCUCAACCAUGACUUUGUUGACAUGGCUUGGAGUUGGGGGUUGCUGGCUUGUUUGUCAGCUCUCCUGAAAUACAUUAGCGGUGGACAAGCAAGGCCUUCCGACGUGAUAAUGAUCGUCGUGGGGCGGAGCAUCAACGUCUGUCUGCUUCUAAAUCCCAGAUGCCUUAGCUAGACAUCAUUUCGAACGCUUGACCUCAAAUCAGGUAGGACUACCCGCUGAACUUAAGCAUAUCAAUAAGGCCGGAGGA